rnacentral:lncRNA from 1 species
AUUUUUUCUUGUAUAAAGACUUUAAUAACUAUUCUUAUUUGAAAAAGUACAUAUUUUGAUUUUUUGCACAUAUGUGGAUAAAGUUAUCUUUUGUAUAAUUAAAAUUUUAUUGUGCAUUAAAGUGGGACUCUGUGUUAAAUUUAUAAUAAGUUCAUACAGUUAUAACUCAUAAAGGCACUUGAUUAAGGAAUACAUUCUUUUGAUACUUGGAAUAGAGUGUUCAUCUGUUGGGAUAUAGCCGCUAGCUAUGAUCAAAGUAUAGUCCAUUUACAGUUUAAGUAUUUUUUCUUGUAUAAAGGCUUUAAUAACUAUUCUUAUUUGAAAAAGUACAUAUUUUGAUUUUUUGCACAUAUGUGGAUAAAGUUAUCUUUUGUAUAAUUAAAAUUUUAUUGUGCAUAAAAGUGGGACUCUGUGUUAAAUUUAUAAUAAGUUCAUACAGUUAUAACUUAUAAAGACACUUGAUUAAGGAAUACAUUCUUUUGAUACUUGGAAGGGAGUGUUCAUCUGUUGGGAUAUAGUCGCUAUGAUCAAAGUAUUGUAAUUCAUUGGUCGAGUGGGAGGUUUUUACUGUAUAAUUUAGUAGGUAAUUAAUAAAAUUUUGUAUCGCCUGUACAGUAAUAAAUAUAUUACUAGACCAAGGGAGAGAAUAUUGGAUGUGGCCCACGUGAUUUAUUCAAGACGAUCUAUAACAAUACAAUCGAUCUAUUCAAGGCGAUCUAUGAAGAUAUGGUCGAUUCAACAGUUAGGAUGUAUUUGGACACAUUCUUAAUAGACGGAUGUGAUUUAACAUUUUUAUAUUAAGUUGUAUAUAAAUAUGUGUAAUAUAUGAGAGUCCCGCUCUAACACUAAUUCUAAUUUCUUGUGAUGUCUCCAUCUUCGGGGAUAAGUGAAUGGGCGUGAUUUAACGUUCCACUCUCUUGUAAAUCAUGAAUGAGGACGAACCACAAGUAAGAAUCGCCGUCUCUCUUAUAGAUCAUGAACGAGGACGAACCACAAACAAGAAUAGUCGUCUACAAUCCGGGUUUGAAAAUCGAAAUUAUGACAGAAAAUAUGAUUUAAUUUUUCAUAAAGUUUAACAAU